rnacentral:lncRNA from 1 species
AUGUGUGUGUGUGUGUGUGUGUGUGUGUGUCACAGGUGUGUGUUCUUGCUCCUCCUCGCUCUCGCUGCAGUUUCUCUGGCAGCUCCCCUCCCAGAGGACGAGACUGCGACAGAUUCUGCUGAGGACUUUGUUUCUGAAAGCCAGAGUGAUCUAUCAGAAGGUAACCUGUCUGUCUGUCACCUGUCUGUCUGUCUGUCACCUGUCUGUCUACUCACCUGUCUGUCUGUCACCUGUCUGUCUACUCACCUGCCUGUCUGUCUGUUUGUCUGUCUGUCUGUCACCUGUCUGUCUGUCUGUCUUCUCACCUGUCUGUCAGUCUGUCUGUCUGUCACCUGUCCAUCUACUCACCUGUCUGUCUGUCACCUGUCUGUCUACUCACCUGCCUGUCUGUCUGUCUGUCUGUCUGUCUGUCUGUCUGUCUGUCUGUCACCUGUCUGUCUGUCUUCUCACCUGUCUGUCAGUCUGUCUGUCUGUCACCUGUCCAUCUACUCACCUGUCUGUCUGGUACAUGACUGUUGUUAUCAAACUCUUUUGACAAGGAAAUGUAAUUAA